GGCCCGAGCUGUGUCGCCCCCCCCCCCCCCCCCCCCAACGCGCUGCCUCCCCGUCCCAUUCGCGUCCUCUGGCCAUCGUCCUCUCUGGUAACGCCCAUCACUGCAAAGACCCUUUUCCUUCAUCGGCGUUUGCUGUUCUUCCUGCCAGUGCGUGUUGCUUUCACUUACACUUGCCACAGCCAGCCUUGUGAGUGCCUAGCCUAUUGGAUAUCACUGUCACCUACACAGGACAGUCAUUACCUUUCUAUUAAUACUUUGUUUUUUAAUUUCACAUUAAUUUCCAUAUUGUAUAAACGACUGGAAAAAACUUGAGCCCCUGCCCCCGUAUAAUCAUGUGCACGUCCCUGUUCUCGCUCCAAGGUGAAUCUUCACUGCUCAUGUUCUCCUCAGAAGCAGUCACCUCACUCCCCUCAGGUUACUGUACACAUGCACCAACUGCCUGCUUCAGGUUUGGAUGGAGCUUCAUGGUUGUCUUUUGGAGAAAUGAGCAGUCAAGUUGUGUUAGAAAUUUGAUUUUUUUCAGGGGCAAAAGGAAGCCUCUGCAUUGUUGUCAAAUAUGUAAAUAGCAUGUUUUUGCAGGUGCUAAAAAACAGACUCUGAGUGUGUGUGUGUGUGUGUGUGUGUGUGUGUGUGUGUCUGUGUGUGUGUGUGUCUGUGUGUGUGUAUCCUGCAGUACUCUGUACUCCUGCAGUGGCCAAAACGACUUUUAAGAAUGUGGAUAUUUGGGUCAUCUUUGGCGCCCCCUAGAACGUAAACCAUGGGGUGCAGCGGCAUGAUUUUUACAACUUUGAAUGGCCAUGGGGUGUAGAUUGGCCUGAGCAAAUUUGGUGUCAGUGGGACGAAAGCCUUAGGAGGAGUUAGCCACAUUCCAAUGUGUGCGAAUCGGCAAAAAAUGCAAAAUAGCCCUUUAGCCGUACAUUUUACAGAUACGCGCCCAUUGACUUUUUCGUAGAUCUUAUUGAGAUACACGUGUGUGUCAAAUUUUUUGUCAAUACGACAAAGCGUACAGGCGUGACACUCAACAAUGUGUAUUUUCACCUUAGGGGACAAGAAAAAAUGGACUUUUUAUUCCUGCCAUGGGGGGGCGCUCUUUUGGGGAGUAAAAAUUCCUUCACAAAUGUGUUGAUGGCUGGACAUUGCAUCAUCCUAGAAAACUUGGAGGCCAGUGAGGACAAAAAAAAAAAUUUAUAAAACUUUUAAGAAUGUGGAUUUUUGGGUUAUUUUUGGCGCCCCCUAAAACCUAAACCAUGGGGUGCAGCAUUAUGAUUUGUACAACUUUGAAUGGCCAUGGAGUGUAGAUUGGCCUGAGCAAAUGUGGUGCUGGUGGAACGAAAGCCUUCGGAGGAGUUAGCGAAAUUCCAAUGUGUGCGGAUCUGCAAAAAAUGCAAAAUAACCCUUUAACCGUACAUUUGACAGAUACGCCCGCACUGACUUUUUUGUAGAUCUUAUUGAGAUACAUGUGUGUGUCAAUUUUUGUGUCAAUAUGACA